rnacentral:rRNA from 1 species
UACGAGAGGCCCAAACGUUAUUCGGAAUUACUGGGCUUAAAGAGUUCGUAGGCGGCGCAGAAAGUAGGGUGUGAAAGCCCUCGGCUCAACCGAGGAAUUGCGCUCUAAACUACUGUGCUUGAGGAAUCUAGAGGUGAGCGGAACUGAUGGUGGAGCGGUGAAAUGCGUUGAUAUCGGGAGGAACACCGGUGGCGAAGGCGGCGACCUGGGUAGAUACUGACGCUGAGGAGCGAAAGCGUGGGGAGCGAACAGG